AUUGAACGCUGGCGGCAGGCCUAACACAUGCAAGUCGAGCGAGCGGCGGAAGGGGGAGUAAUGUCGGGGAAACUGCCUGAUGGAGGGGGAUAACUACUGGAAACGGUAGCUAAUACCGCAUACCAUCAGAUGUGCCCAGAUGGGAUUAGCUAGUAGGUGGGGUAACGGCUCAACUCGGCGACGAUCCCUAGCUGGUCUGAGAGGAUGACCAACCGCACGGGAAGUGAGACACGGUCCAGACUCCUACGGGAGGCAGCAGUGGGGAAUAUUGCACAAUGGGCGCAAGCCUGAUGCAGCCAUGCCGCGUGUGUGAAGAAGGCCUUCGGGGUGUAAAGCACUUUCAGCGGGGGGGCGUUACCCGCAGAAGAAGCACCGGCUAACUCCGUGCCAGCAGCCGCGGUAAUAC
rnacentral:rRNA from 1 species